rnacentral:rRNA from 1 species
AAUGAACGCUGGCGGCAUGCCUAACACAUGCAAGUCGAACGGCAGCACAGGGAGAUUUUGCUCUUGCGGGUGGCGGGGGGCGGACGAGUAACGAAUGCAUCGGAAACCUCUUUGUCGUGGGUGAUAACGGAGGGAAACUUAUGCUAAUACCGCAUAUAACGUACCGGUGAGAUCAGGGGUUCGUCAGACUUUUCGUGACUGUAUGAGCCGGUUUCGGGUCGGAUUAGUUAGUUGGUAAGGUAACGGCUAACCAAGGCGACGAUGCGUAGCCGACCUGAGAGGAUGAUCGGCCACACUGGAACUGAGACACGGUCCAGACUCCUACGGGAGGCAGCAGUAGGGAAUAUUGGGCAAUGGGCGAAAGCCUGAUGAAGCAAUACCGCGUGGGUGAUGAAGGCCUUCGGAUGGUAAAGCUCUGUUGUUGGGAAAGAAGAAAAGCAGGUUAAUCCGUGGCUGUUUUGACGGUACCUAAAGAAUAAGCACCGGCUAACUACGUG